rnacentral:rRNA from 1 species
AAACGACAUCGAAAGCUUGCUUUUGAUGGGCGUCGACCGGCGCACGGGUGAGUAACGCGUAUCCAACCUGCCCAUCACUUGGGGAUAACCUUGCGAAAGUAAGACUAAUACCCAAUGACGUCUCUAGAAGACAUCUGAAAGAGAUUAAAGAUUUAUCGGUGAUGGAUGGGGAUGCGUCUGAUUAGCUUGUUGGCGGGGUAACGGCCCACCAAGGCGACGAUCAGUAGGGGUUCUGAGAGGAAGGUCCCCCACAUUGGAACUGAGACACGGUCCAAACUCCUACGGGAGGCAGCAGUGAGGAAUAUUGGUCAAUGGACGAGAGUCUGAACCAGCCAAGUAGCGUGCAGGAAGACGGCCCUAUGGGUUGUAAACUGCUUUUAUAAGGGAAUAAAGUGAGUCUCGUGAGACUUUUUGCAUGUACCUUAUGAAUAAGGACCGGCUAAUUCCGUGCCAGCAGCCGCGGUAAUACGGAAGGUCCGGGCGUUAUCCGGAUUUAUUGGGUUUAAAGGGAGCGUAGGCCGGAGAUUAAGCGUGUUGUGAAAUGUAGAUGCUCAACAUCUGAACUGCAGCGCGAACUGGUUUCCUUGAGUACGCACAAAGUGGGCGGAAUUCGUGGUGUAGCGGUGAAAUGCUUAGAUAUCACGAAGAACUCCGAUUGCGAAGGCAGCUCACUGGAGCGCAACUGACGCUGAAGCUCGAAAGUGCGGGUAUCGAACAGGAUUAGAUACCCUGGUAGUCCGCACGGUAAACGAUGGAUGCCCGCUGUUGGUCUGAAUAGGUCAGCGGCCAAGCGAAAGCAUUAAGCAUCCCACCUGGGGAGUACGCCGGCAACGGUGAAACUCAAAUGAAUUGACGGA